GCAAGUGAAACAUUAGGGACACAGAGGAGACUCCUGAUGGUUCUGGUGACCCUGCUGGUUCUUGUCUUCAUGUUCCUGAUAAUCCUGACCUGCCUCAUGUUUAUAUACUAUUCUACAGUGAGCCGGCAGCUACAGCAGGAACAUAAGGACAAAGCCAACUUUCUAACACAAAU